GGGUGGCCUAGUGGUUAGAGCGUCCGCCUCGGAUGCGGGAGGUCGUGGGUUCUAUCCCAUAUAGCGUCA